UACGAAGGGGGCUAGCGUUGUUCGGAAUUACUGGGCGUAAAGCGCACGUAGGCGGACAUUUAAGUUGGGGGUGAAAUCCCGGGGCUCAACCUCGGAAUUGCCUUCAAUACUGGGUGUCUUGAGUUCGAGAGGGGUGAGUGGAAUUCCGAGUGUAGAGGUGAAAUUCGUAGAUAUUCGGAAGAACACCAGUGGCGAAGGCGACUCACUGGCUCGAUACUGACGCUGAGGUGCGAAAGCGUGGGGAGCAAACAGG
rnacentral:rRNA from 1 species